AACGCGUGGGAACAUACCUAGUAGUACGGAAUAACGUUUGGAAACGAACGCUAAUACCGUAUACGCCCUUAGGGGGAAAGAUUUAUCGCUAUUAGAUUGGCCCGCGUUGGAUUAGUUUGUUGGUGGGGUAAUGGCCUACCAAGACUACGAUCUAUAGCUGGUCUGAGAGGAUGAUCAGCCACACUGGGACUGAGACACGGCCCAGACUCCUACGGGAGGCAGCAGUGGGGAAUAUUGGACAAUGGGGGCAACCCUGAUCCAGCCAUGCCGCGUGAGUGAUGAAGGCCUUAGGGUUGUAAAGCUCUUUCGCUAGGGAAGAUAAUGACGGUACCUAGUAAAGAAGCCCCGGCUAACUUCGUGCCAGCAGCCGCGGUAAUACGAAGGGGGCUAGCGUUGUUCGGAAUUACUGGGCGUAAAGCGCACGUAGGCGGAUUAGUAAGUUAGGGGUGAAAUCCCGAGGCUCAACCUCGGAACUGCCUUUAAUACUGCUAGUCUCGAGUUCGGGAGAGGUGUAUGGAACUCCUAGUGUAGAGGUGGAAUUCGUAGAUAUUAGGAAGAACACCAGUG
rnacentral:rRNA from 1 species